ACAGCUGUUUGAAGAGGCAAUUUGGAUCGAUGCAGAGUCAGGGUCAUUAUCUGUAAGAACCUUACAAGCAUUCCAGAACACACGGACAAUCCUGUGGCAGGAUGUCUGGGGGUGGCGGGGACCGCUGCCUCCGUGGGACCCGGGGUAGCCGCGCAGACAGAAAAGAAGAGAACUCAGUGACACCUCUGGGGUCUGCUUUGCGUCUAUGAGUCCUGCAGCGUGUCCUUUCAGGGGAGCCUUUUGCACUACAGGCCACAGUCAUGUUCAGUGCAGUUCCCAGCCCAGGGGACAGAGCGUGCAAGCAACGAGGGGAAGACAGAGCAGGAGGUUUUCCACGCGUGGAACCACCAGGUUCUCCUUGGGAAGCGGAGGCUCUUGGUUUUUGCAGGUUAAACCCUCAUCUACUAGAGGCGGCAGAUACAGAAGGAACACUGAUGAGAGCCACAGGGGAAGUAGGUCAGACAUUAAGGAACAAAUCUGUUCUGAGAGAAGUCGAGCAGAGGACAUCUUCGAAGUCUACGGAGGAAUCAGGGCAAGGCCCAUGGUCGGAGCUUCACCAUCCUUUGC